GGAUUAGCAAUCCGCCGCUUUGGUCCGCUCAGCCAUCUCUCC
rnacentral:tRNA from 42 species